GCAAGAGCGGUGCCUGGCAACAAGCGCGCUGUUUCUGUGGCCCGGGGCGGGCGUAGUUGGAUCUAGCCGUACUGCAGAGGCAUCUGGGUCCCAGAUGGGCACAGAGGGUACCGAUGAGGAUGAUUUUCAAUUCUCACAGGAUAUCCCUAAACUCUAGGCAAAGUGCGUGUUGUUAGUCGUGACAUACACCAGACAGCGACUUCGUCUUACAAAUAGGAAAAUGGAAGCGUGGCGCUGUAAAUGGCGAACGACAUAUAAGUUGGACUGGGAAAGAGCGGCUUUCCCUCCUUCAGAAUCUGUGGAGAGAAGCUCAGAGGAGGAGUAGGGGAACUAUUGGCGAGGAGGUUAGGGUCUACCCUGUUCUUCUGACUCAAGCAACCCCGGCUUUUUGCUAAGGCAAACAUGGCUCUGAGAACAGUUGAAAAAACAAAGGCUAAGAAGGCGCAUUUCUCCUUAGAGCAGGACAACAGCCGUCUGUCUAUAGGGCAAUCCUGGGGCCAAACCAUUUAGGUUUCUGAGAAAGCCCCUGGUGAUGCUUGAAAUUAAGAGACGUCUCUGGAUUAGAAAAGUAAAGAAGUGACCUACGUGUGUCUGUUUCAAAAUGGUCUCCUUUAUCUUUCUCAGUAACCUUUGGGUUUGUCCUUGGAGUGAAGUUGAUGCUUGCAGAAUGGCAGGUGACAGGUGCAGGAAACUGCAGAGGGACAAGCCAACUGUGUCUAUCUUGUAGCUGUGGCCCAGCUUCAAAAUGGGUGCGAAUUCUUGGAUAGCAAGCAGAACUAGAGAUUAGCCACUGCGUCUUGCUAGGCCCUGCCAUCCACAUCCACUUGUGCUCAGCCUUGUCUAGUCUUUAACACAGGUGGAGAACCAGCAGAUGCUGUUCAUAUUCUCAAAACUGGAAGUUGGACUUCGAUUUUGUUGUUAUUGUUUUGAAGCAAGAUUGACAAAGUUACUGGAUCAGUAACCCAGACUGGCCAGGGACUCUCUGUGUAAGCCAGGCUGGUUCGUCAGAGAGCUGGGAUUAUAACCCUCUUCCCCCCUUUUAAGUGCUGGGGAUUAAACAUCGAGUUUCAUGUGUGCUAAGCAAGCACUCUACCAACUGAGCUACCUUCUCAGCUCAAGCCACAGAAGAUCCUGCCCUUUGUGACAUGGCUCCAGUGAACACCCCAAACUUGGAUCUCCACCAAUGCAUGGAACUGAGAAAGAACCCGAACAAAACCUAAGAACCAGACGGAUUGUGGUCAUCCGUCAGCAGUGGUCAUUUUGUAAUUGUGGGAAUAAUCAAUGCAUAUUCCAUGAAAGCAGAGUGUGGGAGGUACCUGUAGGGAGGCAGUACUACAGCAGGUCAUCAAUUAUGGAAAGGGCUGAUGAACGCUAACAGCGCUUCCCACUCCCCCAGCUGAAACUAUAGAGGGUCAGAAGCCCCAAACUGCUGAGCUCUGCACACAGUGGGAGGAGUGGCGUCGGGAGGGGAAGCAGAGAAUGGCUCGCCAAGAGACCCUGGCUUCUAACAACCAGCUCAAGAGAAGUUCCUAGUGAUUAAAUUAAUAAACUGAGCUCAACAAAUUGA